CUCCUUCAUUGGCAGGCAGAUUCUAUACCAUUGAGCCACCAGGGAAACCCCUCUCUCCAACCUUUCACCAAAGAAUUAAGCUUUUCUUUGCUUCUGAACCAACUUGGGUCUCCUUCUAAUGGAGAGAGCAGCACCAGGCAGAAGAACCCUUGGUGGGUACUGACUUGGGUGGAGCAGAGGGAAGAGGUGGAAGGCACCCUUGGCAGUGGUAAAGAGUGACCAACUGAACCCUCAACAAGCUUCUGGUAGCAGCACGUGUGGAUUGGAACCCUGAGGAUCUCAAGCCAAGAGAACGAAGCACUGCUGAAGAAAAGUUCUGAUGUUGCCCCCCAAAAUAUUUAAACCAGAGGUGAAUUGAACGUAAAGUUGCAACAAAGUUGAGAUUCAGUUCAGUUACAGAUGAGAUUACCUUAGUGUUUUAUACCAGUAGCCUGCCAGAAAAGAUGGGAUCAUUCUAUCAUUUACUUUAAUGUCUACUAUUCUCUUAACAUGUAUGUAAUAUCUGACCAUACAAUCAAACUAUGUAAGACACAAGAAGAAACAAAAAAAUACCAUCCAUGGCCAAGAG
ensembl:lncRNA